ACUUUACGGUCUUUUCCCUGUGCUCUUAAUAAUUCUUCUGCUACACUGAUGGUGAAGUGUUUUUUUACAAGACUAUCCUUUUCACUCUCUGCAUGAUUUUUACCUCAAAAGUCCAUCUCCGUGAUCCUUUCGUUCCCACCGUCAAGCAAAUAAAAUAUGAAAACUGAAAUCAGUACCGUUAAAAUCGAUUAUAACAAUACUAUGGGAUGACACUCCAAGUGAGAAGAGAGUGUUGGACACCAGCCAGUUUCUGAGGACAACAAUUGAGGAAAGAAAUGCUUUUACAGAAACUACAAUGUUCAGUUGCACACCAAUACAACUGACACUGCCACUGCCAUAACAACUAAAGCUAUCAUUUCUGCAACUGUAACUGCUACCACUGAAAUAACAGCUUUUGCUUAGGAAAAAUAAAUAAAACAGAGACUUACUUCAU